rnacentral:rRNA from 1 species
CUAAGCACGAAACUUGCCCCGAGAUGAGUUCUCCCUGACCCUUUAAGGGUCCUGAAGGAACGUUGAAGACGACGACGUUGAUAGGCCGGGUGUGUAAGCGCAGCGAUGCGUUGAGCUAACCGGUACUAAUGAACCGUGAGGCUUAACCUUACAACGCCGAAGCUGUU